CCAAAGAGUCAAUGAAGUGGUUGACAUACUCUUUCGGGCUCCUUUCCUUCCAUCGAAAUAACAAAACUUGGUGCCUAGGAUACGGCUGGUGGAGUAAGCUUGACGGAUAUGGUGGCUGAGGAACAUACUUCCAAUCCUCUUGGCUUCGACUUAGUUCCUUCUUCAGCAUAGCGAUGACAUCUUCUUGGGUGACAAAAGAUGGCCCUUUUUGUUCAGAACCCUUUCUGGCAACAGCAGAUUCCUCUUGGGGAGGUCUUUCGUUUUCUUCACUUGGCUUCGAGACUGAGUUUUUU
rnacentral:lncRNA from 1 species